rnacentral:rRNA from 1 species
GAACAGACGAGGAGCUUGCUCCUCUGACGUUAGCGGCGGACGGGUGAGUAACACGUGGAUAACCUACCUAUAAGACUGGGAUAACUUCGGGAAACCGGAGCUAAUACCGGAUAAUAUAUUGAACCGCAUGGUUCAAUAGUGAAAGACGGUUUUGCUGUCACUUAUAGAUGGAUCCGCGCCGCAUUAGCUAGUUGGUAAGGUAACGGCUUACCAAGGCAACGAUGCGUAGCCGACCUGAGAGGGUGAUCGGCCACACUGGAACUGAGACACGGUCCAGACUCCUACGGGAGGCAGCAGUAGGGAAUCUUCCGCAAUGGGCGAAAGCCUGACGGAGCAACGCCGCGUGAGUGAUGAAGGUCUUCGGAUCGUAAAACUCUGUUAUUAGGGAAGAACAAAUGUGUAAGUAACUAUGCACGUCUUGACGGUACCUAAUCAGAAAGCCACGGCUAACUACGUGCCAGCAGCCGCGGUAAUACGUAGGUGGCAAGCGUUAUCCGGAAUUAUUGGGCGUAAAGCGCGCGUAGGCGGUUUUUUAAGUCUGAUGUGAAAGCCCACGGCUCAACCGUGGAGGGUCAUUGGAAACUGGAAAACUUGAGUGCAGAAGAGGAAAGUGGAAUUCCAUGUGUAGCGGUGAAAUGCGCAGAGAUAUGGAGGAACACCAGUGGCGAAGGCGACUUUCUGGUCUGUAACU